rnacentral:lncRNA from 1 species
AGGAGUGACCAAAGGUUUGCAUAGGGACGACAUAUAGAAGGGAAUUAGGAAUUAUAUUUAAUUUUUGAGGAGUGAGUUUGCAGUACUUUUGAGAGCCUUUUUCUAAUAGUGAGAUGCAAGUGAAGAAUAUACUUCAAAACUCCAGUACUCUUAAUACCAUGGUGUCUAGCUGACGCCAUUUUUGUAGUGAGGUAAACUAUGUUUUGUGUCUAUAAAUAAAACAAGUAAGUUUUAUUGAAUUCUAUCUCCUUCAGCUAAAAUAAACCACGGAAAAACUAUUUUUUAAAUUAACACAGAGGAAAUAAUACAAAAUAAUGUUGUGCCCAAGGACUAGUAACCAGUCACCAUCUAACAUAUCAAACCACACACACAAGACAAGAUUUACGUGGUUCGGCCAACAAGGCCUAGUCCACGGAGAGGAAACCAAUAAUUCACUAUCUCAGGAAUGAAUUACAAUGAGUACAAUAGGAGGGAGCCUUCAUCCCCACUUCACAUCAAGGCCUCUUCUGAUCUCACAGCACACAACCCUCUUGCUCUCUGUGCUCUCAAAGACUCAUAGCAAAAUCCCACAAAUAUAACCUUAGCCCCUCUGCACACAGCAACAAGCUGUGUGCUCUCAGAGUAAUCCCCCAAGGAUUACAUUUCUGCUCGCCCUUCUUCCCUCUCUGGAACGUUCUCAAAUUUAGUAGUGUCUAGAGCAGAGAAGAUGAGUCAGCCAUGAGUCAUUACAUGCCACAAUUUAGACUUCGGGGAAGAAAAGGCAGGCCUCCAUCUGGGACUUCUUCGCCAGCAGCCUUCGUUUGACAGAAACUUUCAAAAGCCUCUCUCUAUUCUUUCUUAUCCUCUUCUCCUUUCUUCUUUCUUUCUUUUCCUUUCGUCGCUGCACAAUAUGAAUACAAUUCAGGUCACGAUUCAUAUUGGGCUUAGCUUGAUUUGGGCUUGGGCCUUCUCUGCUAUUGGGCUUGGUCUUGGGCUUCAUGGGUUGGACGUCAAGUCUUCAUUGGGCUGGAUCCCUAACAAUAAACAUGUUAAAUUAUCAUGUAAUAAUAAUCCUAGAACAACAAUAGAAUUAAAUAAAAUUAAUAAAAGAAGUUUUGAGUGACUUUUAAUUAUAUAUUUUGAAACUUUGAAGAUGGCACCACAUACCAUUCAAGUACUUUCAAUAAUAUGAAACUUGUAUAGGUACACAAAAAGAAAAAAUAGAUCACGUUUAAAAAUACGACCCACCCAAAACUAAGAAAAAGUCUCGUAUGAACUAACCUAAAUUAGAAAAAUGUUGAUACCUAAUAACUUGAAUAAUUUCAACACAAAUGAGUAUAAAAUAAUAUAAUCAUAUAAAAGGUGGUAGUCCAACAUUACAAUUUGGAUUAAUGAGUUAUGAAUAAGCGGUAUCGGGGUCAAGGUUGUUGGUUUCUUACCAACGCGACUUGAAAUUCUCUUUUAUUUUCAAUUUUUUUUUUGGCUCAGUAAAUAAGUUGUAUUUCUCAAAAAAAAUAUUAUAGUAACUGGGCAUCCCCAAGAGGAAACCAAAAGGCCAAAGACAAGACAAGCUCUUAGAAAAGGAGCCGAGACAACAAGAGAACAAGGCAAUCUUGCCACUUAACUAAAGUAUUACAUAUAUCAGGCCUAAAUCAGGAAUAGAGUAUAGUACUCCUGAAACCAGGGUCUAAUGAUGACGCCUGAUUAUUUCCUAUGGCGUACUCAAUUUUGCUUCAACAAUUCAUUGUUGUAAAACCCCCCCAAUGUGGUAAAUAAUGCACGCUAGGCUUAUUCUCUUGAAUUUAGCGAGAAAUCCUCUGCCCUUUAUCUUGAAUCAUCAAUUUAACUGCCGCUUUUAGGUAUUAUAGCACGAGUUAUACCAUCCAAGAUUUUGUCAAUCCCCAAAACAUGGCCCAUACUUGCAUUGGAAAAAUAGGUGUUCAAUGUCUUCAUUCUCAGCCAUGCAUAAGGGCCAAACCAUGUCUUCAACGAAAUCACGAAGCUGUCUCUUAGUACAAAGCGAUCCUUAAUACCCAGCCAUAGGAUGAAUGAAUGUUUUGGUGUAAAGAGGUAUGCCAAAAACCCAUCUUGACAUGCAUUUAGCUCUUUGGCCUGAAAAUUUGAAUGCUAACGGGAGAGCAGGUGACCCUCCGGAGCCCACUGAUUCAGACGAAGGAUAACAUUCCUACUGACCCUGCUUCUUCAAUAAUUCUCAUCCCUUAGAGCAAUUAGUGUUCAUGAGGGGGGAGUCUUCAUGCCGGUUUCAGUAUUCCAGAAGGUUUACUUGAUCAUUAAUCUGAUGAACCAUUGGACCCAGGGGAGUCUUUCUUGGCUGAAUAUCCCAAAGGAUUUGCAAUUAAGGCUUUGUUCCAUGCUUUUUUGUGUUCCUGAUGCCCAAGCCACCUUCAUGUUUUGGGAGACAGAAUCUCCAAGCCACUAAAGGCCUUUCUUAUAACUGUGGCCUUGCCGCCUACAAAGAAACUCCCUACAAAAAGCUGUGUGAUUUUUUUUCCUAACCCCU